GCCCUGCUAGCUCAAUGGCAGAGCACUGAACUUCUAUUCAUAGUUAUUCAGAGGCUGUGGGUUCGAGUCCCACGUAGGGCU